AAGAGACGAACAGUUAGUGCUGAUUUUCAUUUGCAUAAAUUUUCAUAUAUUUUAGUGAAAAUAAUAGCGGGAGCCGAGGAGCGCUCCUGCUCAGUCGAGGCAGAGGAAAGAAAAUCUCAGGGAGCAGCGAGUCGCGGGGAAGGGAGAUAACCAUUUACACGCUCCGUGGGAACAAACUGAAGCUAUUUCCUUCAUUCUUGGACACAAGGAGUCCUCACAAACACUAAACUUUGGUCAUCCGUCCUCCUCACUCCUCCUGAUGCAGAACCUCUAGGGAAUUUAAAGGACCUGCAUCCAAACUGAACAAAGGGACGACCUUGUAAGCAGUCUCAAUGUUUAAUUUGAUGUAUUAGCGGCAGUCACACUCCAGUGCAAAGCACAAAUCUCUAAAUAUCGAGCAAGUUUGGCUCCCUUCAACCACGGAUCAUCUGCAAAAUGUUGAUUUUCACACGACAGUGAGCAUGACGUUUCUUUACAUUGUCGUCAGCAUGAAAAAUCUGUACUGUGUUUUUGCAAGUGUGCAAUAAAAACAAGCCAGCAGAA